AUGAACGCUGGCGGCGUGCCUAAUACCUGCAAGUCGCGCGAACAGACGAGGAGCUUGCUCCUCUGACGUUAGCGGCGGACGGGUGAGUAACACGUGGAUAACCUACCUAUAAGACUGGGAUAACUUCGGGAAACCGGAGCUAAUACCGGAUAAUAUAUUGAACCGCAUGGUUCAAUAGUGAAAGACGGUUUUGCUGUCACUUAUAGAUGGAUCCGCGCCGCAUUAGCUAGUUGGUAAGGUAACGGCUUACCAAGGCAACGAUGCGUAGCCGACCUGAGAGGUGAAUCGCCACACUGGAACUGAGACACGGUCCAGACUCCUACGGGAGGCAGCAGUAGGGAAUCUUCCGCAAUGGGCGAAAGCCUGACGGAGCAACGCCGCGUGAGUGAUGAAGGUCUUCGGAUCGUAAAACUCUGUUAUUAGGGAAGAACAAAUGUGUAAGUAACUAUGCACGUCUUGACGGUACCUAAUCAGAAAGCCACGGCUAACUACGUG
rnacentral:rRNA from 1 species